rnacentral:rRNA from 1 species
UACGGGGGGUGCGAGCGUUGUCCGGAUUCACUGGGCGUAAAGGGCGCGUAGGCGGCCGGGUCAGUCGGGCCUGUAAGUGCGGGGCUCAACCCCGUGAUGGGCUCGGGACGGCCGGGCUGGGGCGCGGUCGAGGGAGACGGAAUGCCGGGUGUAGUGGUGAAAUGCGUAGAGAUCCGGCGGAACACCGGUGGUGAAGACGGUCUCCUGGGCCGAGGGCCGACGCUGAGGCGCGAGAGCGUGGGGAGCGAACCGG